GACGAACGCUGGCGGCGUGCUUAACACAUGCAAGUCGAGCGGAAAGGCCCUUUCGGGGGUACUCGAGCGGCGAACGGGUGAGUAACACGUGAGUAAUCUGCCCCUGACUUUGGGAUAGCCACCGGAAACGGUGAUUAAUACCGGAUACGACCACUUCUCGCAUGGGAUGGUGGUGGAAAGUUUUUCGGCCAGGGAUGUGCCCGCGGCCUAUCAGCUUGAUGGUGAGGUAAUGGCUCACCAUGGCUUCGACGGGUAGCCGGCCUGAGAGGGUGACCGGUCACACUGGGACUGAGACGCGGCCCAGACUCCUACGGGAGGCAGCAGUGGGGAAUAUUGGACAAUGGGCGGAAGCCUGAUCCAGCAACGCCGCGUGAGGGAUGACGGCCUUCGGGUUGUAAACCUCUUUCAGCAGGGACGAAGCGCAAGUGACGGUACCUGCAGAAGAAGCACCGGCCAACUACGUGCCAGCCGCCGCCGUAA
rnacentral:rRNA from 1 species